rnacentral:rRNA from 1 species
UAGGGAAUCUUCGGCAAUGGACGGAAGUCUGACCGAGCAACGCCGCGUGAGUGAAGAAGGUUUUCGGAUCGUAAAGCUCUGUUGUUAGAGAAGAACGUUGGUAGGAGUUGAAAAUCUACCAAGUGACGGUAACUAACCAGAAAGGGACGGCUAUCUACGUGCCAGCAGCUGCGGGAAUACGUAGGUCCCGAGCGUUGUCCGGACUUAUUGGGCGUAAAGCGAGCGCAGGUGGUUCUUUAAGUCUGAAGUUAAAGGCAGUGGCUUAACCAUUGUACGCUUUGGAAACUGGAGGACUUGAGUGCAGAAGGGGAGAGUGGAAUUCCAUGUGUAGCGGUGAAAUGCGUAGAUAUAUGGAGGAACACCGGUGGCGAAAGCGGCUCUCUGGUCUGUAACUGACGCGGAGGCUCGAAAGCGUGGGGAGCAAACAGG